rnacentral:rRNA from 1 species
GACAGAGGUCCCGAGCGUUAGGCGGAAUCACUGGGCUUAAAGCGUGUGUAGGCGGAUUGGUAAGUACCUUGUGAAAUCCCACGGCUUAACCGUGGAACUGCUUGGUAUACUGCUUAUCUUGGGCCACUUAGGGGCUACCGGAACAAACGGUGGAGCGGUGAAAUGCGUAGAUAUCGUUUGGAACGCCAAUGGUGAAAACAGGUAGCUGGGAGUGUGCCGACGCUGAGACACGAAAGCCAGGGGAGCGAACGGGG